rnacentral:sRNA from 2 species
CGUCGCUCAUUCAACUUUUUAUGUCAGAGCCCUAAAGUGGAACUACAUAAGCCUCAGAAUGAUGCCAAAGCCAUGGUACCUAUCGUCUACCAAACAGAUAUUAACUGCUACGGCAGCUUAUCAAACUUCAGACGACACGUUGAGUGAGGUACCAGCCU